rnacentral:lncRNA from 1 species
AGAAGGCGCAUUGGUCAUCAUCUGAAAGACAGCUUUUGCAAGUAAACAUAGUCACACCGUAUAUUAGAUUAUGGAAUUAUGAACACUGCUGUACAAUGACAGAAAAUUAAAACCUGGCUUUCAGUGCAGGUUUCAUGUGGCUAAUCUGCAUAGCAGCUGAAUGAACCCGAGUGAGAAGGCUGAACGUAAUCGGCAGGAGCUGACUACCUGCGCUGCCACUGUUCUGCGUGGCAGGGGGUGAGGUGAGAGACGGCGCAGGGCUCUUUCCGGAUCUCNAAAACAUAGAACUUGAGGCUGGCUCAGAACCUGGAGGAAUGCUGCAGAAUGGGCAAGGACUGCGCAGUUCCUAUGGGAGUGUGGAGGAAAAUGAAGAGCAUGUGCUGUUCUCAUGAAGUUCACAGGUUUUUUAGAGCAACACAGAGUGCAAGCAAUAAGAAAUGGAGAGUUAAGGUGUGAAAGUAAGUAAGAACAAGAAUCUCUGCAAAAAACAGGAUCAGGGAACUAAGUGUAUGUGCCUGGUCAGCAACACUGAGCUCAAAAGAUACACUUGGACUUUCAGUGUGAUUUUUGUAUUAUGGCAGAGCAGUAUCAAGUAUAGGGCACAGUAGGAAGGAAAAGUGGCAGAGCCCUUUGGCCUGUCUCUCACAGGCUCACAAUAGCAUUAAGGCUGUAAGUUGUAUAGGGC